AGAAAAAACUGGUUGGCAUCCCAUUUUAGUUGGGAUACUGCCUUUUGGGAAUUGGACCUCUUGUAGCCAAAUUGGGAUAUACCCUUUCUGCAGUGAUGACUGAAACCUUAUGUCUCUUUCCUUUCAGGCUAAAGGAUGUCCAAUCAAUGGAUGAGCUGAAAGAUGUCUACAACCAUUUUCUUCUUUAUUAUGGCCGAGACAUCCCUAAGAUGCAGAACGCCGCCAAAGCUAGCCGCAAGAAGCUGAAGCGUGUCAGGGAAGAGGGAGAUGAAGAAGGUGAAGGUGAUGAGGCAGAAGAUGAGGAGCAGAGGGGGCCCGAGCUCAAGCAAGCCUCUCGCCGAGACAUGUACACCAUCUGCCAGAGUGCUGGGCUAGGUAAAAGCUAGCUGCUUUGGGAUUUAGGCAUUCUAGCCUGAGCAAGGGGAGUUACCCAGAAAAAAGACUGGUAGGUAGGAAAAAGAAAGGCUAUCUGGGUCAGUCACCAAUCCAAUCCUGAACCAGCCUAUUACCUGGUCUUCAAAAAUACUUCCUCUCCACACCCAUUCCCGCCCCACGUGAUGGUUCAGCCUGUCCCUAAUUUCCU
rnacentral:sRNA from 1 species